GCAUUCUCAUUUUUCCUGAGAUCAGCCCAGCUUCACGGCUUGCCAUCAAGGGUUAGGGCAGAUCAAGGAGUAGAAAACCUGGACAUUGCACAUUUCAUGUUUGCCACAAGAGGAACAGGGAGAGCGAGUUUCAUAUCUGGAAAGAGUGUCCACAAUCAGAGGUUAG